rnacentral:rRNA from 1 species
GACAGAGGUGCCGAGCGUUAGGCGGAAUCACUGGGCUUAAAGCGUGUGUAGGCGGGCGGGCAAGUACCUUGUGAAAUCCCACGGCUCAACCGUGGAACUGCUGGGUAUACUGCCUGUCUUGAGCCAGCCAGGGGCAGUCGGAACAGACGGUGGAGCGGUGAAAUGCGUAGAUAUUGCUCGGAAGGCCAACGGCGAAGGCAGGUUACUGGUGCGCAACUGACACUGAGGCACGAAAGCGUGGGGAGCAAACAGG